UCUCUGGUGGUUCAGAUGGUAAAGAAUCUGCCUGCAAUGCAGGAGACCCAGGUUCGAUUCCUGGGUUGGGAA
rnacentral:tRNA from 1 species